GGGGAUUUAGCUCAGUGGUAGAGCGCUUGCCUAGCAAACGUAAGGCCCUGGGUUCGGUCCCCAGCUCCA
rfam:Rattus norvegicus chromosome 5, whole genome shotgun sequence.